rnacentral:rRNA from 1 species
UGCCAGCCGCCGCGGUAAUACGGAGGGUGCAAGCGUUAAUCGGAAUUACUGGGCGUAAAGCGCACGUAGGCGGCCAUUCAAGUCAGAUGUGAAAGCCCCGGGCUCAACCUGGGAACUGCACCUGAUACUGCCAGUCUAGAAUACGGUAGAGGGUAGUGGAAUUUCCUGUGUAGCGGUGAAAUGCGUAGAUAUAGGAAGGAACACCAGUGGCGAAGGCGACUACCUGGACCAAUACUGACACUGAGGUGCGAAAGCGUGGGGAGCAAACAGGAUUAGAUA